AGGAAGGUAGUGUAGUUAACACCUGCAUUAUUUGACGUUACCUACAGAAGAAGCACCGGCUAACUCCGUGCCAGCAGCCGCGGUAAUACGGAGGGUGCGAGCGUUAAUACGGAAUUACUGGGCGUAAAGCGCAUGCAGGCGGCCUGUUAAGUCAGAUGUAGAAAGGACCCGGGGCCGUUUAACCGUACGGUAAGUUGCUAUUUAGUAAACGUAGGCGAGGCUAGAGUCUUGUAGAGGGGGGUAGGAAUUUCAGGUGUAGCGGUGAAAUGCGUAGAGAUCUGAAGGAAUACCAGUGGCGAAGGCGGCCCCCUGGACAAAGACUGACGCUCAGAUGCGAAAGCGUGGGGAGCAAACAGGAUUAGAUACCCUGGUAG
rnacentral:rRNA from 1 species